AGCAGCAUGGCGCAGUUGGAAGCGCGCGGGGCCCAUAUCUAAAUGAUUCGUGGACGACACCCCGAGGUCACUCGAUCGAAACGAGUUGCUGCUA